rnacentral:ncRNA from 1 species
AUAUUCCGACAGGGGAGCGCCACAGCGCUGAGAGUGCGGCACGGACCGGGCGACCGGGCCGAUGGCCGCAGACCCUCUGAACCUCGCCCGGGUCAUUCCGGGUAGGGAGUUCGGACACUUCUCCAG